rnacentral:rRNA from 1 species
GCGAUCAUACCAGCACUAAAGCACCGGAUCCCAUCAGAACUCCGAAGUUAAGCAUGCUUGGGCGAGAGUAGUACUAGGAUGGGUGACCCCUGGGAAUUUCUCGUGUUGCACCCC